rnacentral:rRNA from 1 species
UACGGAGGGGGCUAGCGUUGUUCGGAAUUACUGGGCGUACAGCGCACGUAGGCGGCUUUGUAAGUUAGAGGUGAAAGCCCGGAGCUCAACUCCGGAAUUGCCUUUAAGACUGCAUCGCUCGAAUCAUGGAGAGGUGAGUGGAAUUCCGAGUGUAGAGGUGAAAUUCGUAGAUAUUCGGAAGAACACCAGUGGCGAAGGCGACUCACUGGACAUGUAUUGACGCUGAGGUGCGAAAGCGUGGGGAGCAAACAGG